AAACAAGAUCAGCCUUAUUAUCACCCAAGCUUUUUGCCACAAGGCAUCGCACUGAGAAGGAGAACCCAAGCAGAGCAGAGCAGGCUCACAAUAUUGAGGAGGCAGAGACCAGAGUUCAGUGAGACUGAAGUGACUUGUGAGGCAGUGAAUUAGAAAGGAGGCAGCUAAGAAGAGAAAGAACACGGCACCAAUGUGGUCUGCUAUGUAAUAGAAUCUCCUGGAAAAGCAACCCUGUGGAAGACUCAGGCAAGGCCAUUCACUGGCUUCUCUCAAUCUGUUUUUCUAUUGCAUGUGCAAUGCCAUUAAAUUAUUUUAUGUCCAUGUGCAAUGCAAUUAAAUGGCAACAUACCACAAGGUUCCUAGAACUUCUCAGGACCCACUUGACAAUGCCAGUCUUGCUUUACUGAAUAAAAGUGCAUCAUCCUCGGCUUCUACAUGUUCUAUUGUCACUCAAUCUGUACAAAUGUAUGCCUUAGUUGUGAAAAACCUUACAUCAGAUCUUUUUGAUAGAGCCCAA
rnacentral:lncRNA from 1 species